AUACGGAGGGUGCAAGCGUUACUCGGAGUCACUGGGCGUAAAGCGCGCGCAGGCGGCUUGAUAAGUUGGAUGUGAAAGCCUACGGCUCAACCGUAGAACUGCAUCCAAAACUGUCAGGCUAGAGUCUGGGAGGGGAAGAUGGAAUUAGUUGUGUAGGGGUAAAAUCCGUAGAGAUAACUAGGAAUACCAAAAGCGAAGGCGAUCUUCUGGAACAGUACUGACGCUGAGGCGCGAAAGCGUGGGGAGCAAACAGGAUUAGAAACCCUAGUAGUCC
rnacentral:rRNA from 1 species